AUACAAAAUACAUAUUUAUGAUAGCGUAACUUUUUAAAAGAAAAGAAGGGUUGAGCAACAUUUGAAGCUUUGAUCUUCAGUUUUGUUGUUGAGCUUGACCUUGCUGCCUUUGUGUUGUGUGUGUGAAUCUCAGUUGGGGAUGGUGUGAGUCGAUGAGCGGUGGUGACGUGAUUUGAGGGAGCUAGGGCUUAGGCGGCGCUCGUCGCCGUUCAAAGAGAAGAAGGCGCCGGAAUGCGCAGAGGAGACAGAGAAAGGGGCCGCGGGUCAGAGGGUGGCGCGGCACGGCGGCUCUGCUGCUGCCCGGCCGAAGCUGGAGAGAGAGAGAGAGAGUUGGGGGCUAGGACGCCGGGGGUGAUGGCGUGAAUCCGCUGCUGUCGUCCGCUGGAUUUUCAGAAGGAGGCGACGGCGGAUCUGCCGCGAGGACGCCGGAGGCGGCGGCGCUCCGCGGCGGUUGCGCCUGCUGCGCCUUGUGCCGCCAGUUGAGAGAGAGAGAGAGAGUCGAGGGAUAGUGGCGGCGACGGCGGCAGCCGGAGGACGGCGCUGCUGGCGACCGCCGGAAGGGAGAAGAGGGAGAGAAGGCUGAGCGGGGCUGCUGGCGACAGCUGUGUGCGUGCGUCUGUGUGUGAGAGGCGAGAGACGGGGGAGAGGGGAGUCAGUGGGAAGGAGAGGGGGGUGCGGCGCUGAGUGUGUGAGUGUGUGCGUGUGUUUGUGUGUGUUCUGUAUGUGUGUC
rnacentral:lncRNA from 1 species